UGUCGGUCUCACAGAUUCUAGUGCCGAGGAUCUCGUCUCCGCUCUCAGUACAAACCCAUCACUGACGGGGCUGAACCUGAUAUUAAACUCUCUGACAGACGAAUCUGUCCCCGGUCUCAGCCGCCUCAUACUGACCCUCCCGAGUCUGGAGUGGAUCUGGCUGUGGGGGAAUCGGUUCAGUGAGACCGGGAGGAAGGAACUGAGAUCUCUACAGGAACCCAGACAAGGACUGAUGGUGGAUCUGUGAACAUCUGAAUGUGGGGAAUCGGUUCAGUGAGACCGGGAUGAAGGAACUGAGAUCUCUACAGGAACCCAGACCCGGACUGAGAGUGGAUCUGUGAACAUCUGAAUGUGGUGAAUCGGUUCAGUGAGACCGGGGGGAAGGAACUGAGAUCUCUACAGGAACCCAGACCCGGACUGAUGGUGGAUCUGUGAACAUCUGAAUGUGGGGAAUCGGUUCAGUGAGACCGGGAUGAAGGAACUGAGAUCUCUACAGGAACCCAGACCCGGACUGAGAGUGGAUCUGUGAACAUCUGAAUGUGGGGAAUCGGUUCAGUAAGACCG